rnacentral:lncRNA from 1 species
CACAAAAUAAUGUUUAGCUGUUACGUAUAUACACUCUUGUCUCAAGCUGUGCAGAAUUUCUGUGAAUGUUUUCAGUUGGAUAUGAAAUUAAGUACAUGAGGAAAAAUACACCGUACUGUAUAUAUUACGUGUUAUUGCCAUGUGACAGAUGGCAGCAGAAAAGCACUCUGACAAAAUGGCACCUGACAUCCAGAAAGUCUGUAUGAAGCAAAGGUGUGUCACUGAAUUCCUCUGUGUGGAGAAAAUGGCACCCACUAGGUGCUUGUUGAAUGCAACCAAUGCAAUGCUAAGUGGUGUGAUCACAGAGGGGCAGUGUGCAGUGCAUGCCAGCAGUGAUGUCAGUGACUGUGGGUAACCUGUGCUGGCACAGAUUUUGAUGAGCACAACAUGCAGUCUCAUAUUCAUUGCCAACUAUGCAAAAAGGCAUAGCUAACGGUGGUGGCUAUGUUGGAGAACGGUGCUAUGCAGCUGAGGAUUUGCCCUAUCAAACAGAGUUACUGUGCUCAUUUUACCUGUUGCAGUUUCCAUGAAAAUGAAUAGGAGGCAUUACUUUUACAGCAAAUAUAUGUGGCCCGGGACAAUUUGCCUUCACUCAGUGUGACCUAGGCAAACCAACAGGCUGGACAGUGGUGCUAUACACAAGGUCCCUCAGGUCCUGGGUGCCUUUCUCCUUCAGGGUGUUCGGUUUGCCUGGGUUACAUGCCAGGAAAAGAUUCCCUGGAGGGAGCCUCUUACUCACAGCUGAGUCAUGACUGCUGCUGCUACAUUGUGUUUUGGCUUUGGUGGAAGCAAGGUAUAUUCUGUACUCUCCAUUUUGUCUCUCCCAUAGUCCUAGUUUGUAACAUUGCUGCAAUGAGAAAGAAUGUAGCUGAGGACAGAAGGAAAGGAACUGAGCAAACUGCAGUGCAUAGUAAUGAGCGUGUGAGGAGAAGCGGGGUGCUGUGAGGGAAAGGCGAUGACAACGAUGGCGACGGCAAGCGGUCUCCAGAGCCGAGAAUCUUAAAUCAACCAGAAGAGGAGCGAGCUGGAAGAGGAUGCUGAAGCGUGCAGAUGCGGGGGGGAAGGAGAGAGGCACCCUGGGCAAAGCCCCCGUCCCGUUAUUGUUUGAGCGUUGCCCGUGCCUUGGGUGACCAG